rnacentral:lncRNA from 1 species
GGAUUGCUUCCUUCGCCGUAGGAGCAGUUGCCUUAACUGUACCCAUACUUGAGUUGCCGUUGGAUUCGCCGUCCCCAAGCCACUUCCAGUAUCCACAGUUAGCUUCACAACAUUUGAACAACUUGCCUUUGUUCUUUGUUGCCUUCUCUACCUCAAAACACUUAACAAAUGCAUGUUGACACCACGGACAUACUCGCUUGUUCGGGCAAUCCACAAACAAGUGAUCUGUAGACCUACAACUGUGGCAUACAACACGAUUCUUUCCUACCAUUCUAAGAUGGGGAUCAACUAGAAAAUUAGCAACAAAAUGCAUAUACAAUAACACAAAUGAAGGUAAGAAUGCAGUUACGUUACACGAUUUCGCAAUAAAAUUAAAAAAUGUGAGUCGUUCCCAGUUCGUGACAUAUGAGGAUGAGCAACAAUUGACUCAGACAAAGUGAAUGACGCUAAUUACCAUACUUUCUGAACUUCAUAUGAAGCAAUCAUCUUUCGAAACUCAUUUUCACAUGAACUAGCCCCAUUUCCAAUAAGAAAAAAUUAACCAAUGAAACCCACCAAAUUUGAAGCUCAUUUUCAGAUUCUAUAUACCAUUACCCUUCACAAACGAAACCCACCAACAUUGAUUUUAUACACCACCAACACAGUGGUAGCAUUUUCAAUUCAUUGUUCUUCCAUAUCCUUCUACUUCUUCGACCUCUCUCAACUAUGUUAACACAAUGUCAUUUUGCAAAACAAAUAACUUCCCAAUAAAAAAAAUUAACCAAUGAUACCCACCAAAAUUUGAAGCUCAUUUUCAGAUUCGACAUACCAUUACCCUUCACAAAUGAAACCCACCAACAUUGAUUUUCUACACCACCAACACAGUGGUAACAUUUUCACUUCAUUGUUCUUCAAUAUUUUUUCUACUUCUUCAACCCCCUCUCAACUUAGCAAAACAAACAACUUACCAAUAGUUUGCAACGGAUCUCGUCGGAGAUGAAGGCGUCGGUGUUGAAGAAGAUCAAUACACG